rnacentral:rRNA from 1 species
GUUAUCCGGGUUGCGGACAGUGUCUGGUGGGUAGUUUGACUGGGGCGGUCUCCUCCUAAAGAGUAACGGAGGAGCACGAAGGUUGGCUAAUCCUGGUCGGACAUCAGGAGGUUAGUGCAAUGGCAUAAGCCAGCUUGACUGCGAGCGUGACGGCGCGAGCAGGUGCGAAAGCAGGUCAUAGUGAUCCGGUGGUUCUGAAUGGAAGGGCCAUCGCUCAACGGAUAAAAGGUACUCCGGGGAUAACAGGCUGAUACCGCCCAAGAGUUCAUAUCGACGGCGGUGUUUGGCACCUCGAUGUCGGCUCAUCACAUCCUGGGGCUGAAGUAGGUCCCAAGGGUAUGGCUGUUCGCCAUUUAAAGUGGUACGCGAGCUGGGUUUAGAACGUCGUGAGACAGUUCGGUCCCUAUCUGCCGUGGGCGCUGGAGAACUGAGGGGGGCUGCUCCUAGUACGAGAGGACCGGAGUGGACGCAUCACUGGUGUUCGGGUUGUCAUGCCAAUGGCACUGCCCGGUAGCUAAAUGCGGAAGAGAUAAGUGCUGAAAGCAUCUAAGCACGAAACUUGCCCCGAGAUGAGUUCUCCCUGACUCCUUGAGAGUCCUGAAGGAACGUUGAAGACGACGACGUUGAUAGGCCGGGUGUGUAAGCGCAGCGAUGCGUUGAGCUAACCGGUACUAAUGAACCGUGAGGCUUAACCUU